rnacentral:rRNA from 1 species
GUUUGAUCAUGGCUCAGAUUGAACGCUGGCGGCAGGCCUAACACAUGCAAGUCGAGCGGUAGCACAGAGAGCUUGCUCUCGGGUGACGAGCGGCGGACGGGUGAGUAAUGUCUGGGAAACUGCCUGAUGGAGGGGGAUAACUACUGGAAACGGUAGCUAAUACCGCAUAACGUCGCAAGACCAAAGUGGGGGACCUUCGGGCCUCAUGCCAUCAGAUGUGCCCAGAUGGGAUUAGCUAGUAGGUGGGGUAAUGGCUCACCUAGGCGACGAUCCCUAGCUGGUCUGAGAGGAUGACCAGCCACACUGGAACUGAGACACGGUCCAGACUCCUACGGGAGGCAGCAGUGGGGAAUAUUGCACAAUGGGCGCAAGCCUGAUGCAGCCAUGCCGCGUGUAUGAAGAAGGCCUUCGGGUUGUAAAGUACUUUCAGCGAGGAGGAAGGCAUUAAGGUUAAUAACCUUAGUGAUUGACGUUACUCGCAGAAGAAGCACCGGCUAACUCCGUGCCAGCAGCCGCGGUAAUACGGAGGGUGCAAGCGUUAAUCGGAAUUACUGGGCGUAAAGCGCACGCAGGCGGUCUGUUAAGUCAGAUGUGAAAUCCCCGGGCUCAACCUGGGAACUGCAUUUGAAACUGGCAGGCUUGAGUCUUGUAGAGGGGGGUAGAAUUCCAGGUGUAGCGGUGAAAUGCGUAGAGAUCUGGAGGAAUACCGGUGGCGAAGGCGGCCCCCUGGACAAAGACUGACGCUCAGGUGCGAAAGCGUGGGGAGCAAACAGGAUUAGAUACCCUGGUAGCCCACGCUGUAAACGAUGUCGACUUGGAGGUUGUUCCCUUGAGGAGUGGCUUCCGGAGCUAACGCGUUAAGUCGACCGCCUGGGGAGUACGGCCGCAAGGUUAAAACUCAAAGGAAUUGACGGGGCCCCGCACAAGCAGCGGAGCAUGCGGCUUAAUUCGACGCAACGCGAAGAACCUUACCAAGGCUUGGCAUAUACAGGAAUAUGGCAGAGAUGUCAUAGCGGUAAAACGUCUGUAUACAGGUGGUGCAUGGUUGUCGUCAGCUCGUGUCGUGAGAUGUUGGGUUAAGUCCCGCAACGAGCGCAACCCUCGUUCUGUGUUGCCAGCAUUUAGUUGGGGACUCACAGGAGACUGCCGGGGUUAACUCGGAGGAAGGUGGGGAUGACGUCAAAUCAUCAUGCCCCUUAUGUCUUGGGCUGCACGCAUGCUACAAUGGCUGGUACAAAGGGCUACAAUACUGCAAAGUGGAGCGAAUCCCAAAAAGCCAGUCUCAGUUCGGAUUGGGGUCUGCAACUCGACCCCAUGAAGUCGGAGUUGCUAGUAAUCGUAGAUCAGCAACGCUACGGUGAAUACGUUCCCGGGGCUUGUACACACCGCCCGUCACAUCACGAAAGUCGGUAACACCCAAAGUCAGUGGCCCAACCGCAAGGAGGGAGCUGCCAAAGGUGGGAUCGGUGAUUGGGAUGAAGUCGUAACAAGGUAACCGUAGA